GAGAGAGAGAGAGAGAGAGAGAGAGAGAGAGAGAGAGAAGUAGAAACGAUGAUGCAAUGUACAGAUGCUUAUUUUAAAAUAUAAUGGGAUCAGCUACUCAGGGUGAUUACCCAAUAUAGUCUGAGGUUCCUGACGACACACUAACUCAGCCUCCGUCUGAGGUUCCUUACGACACACUAACUAGGCCUCCGUCUGAGGUUCCUGACGACACACUAACUAGGCCUCCUUCUGAGGUUCCUGACGACACACUAACUAGGCCUCCGUCUGAGGUUCCUGACGACACACUAACUAGGCCUCCGUCUGAGGUUCCUGACGACACACUAACUAGGCCUCCGUCUGAGGUUCCUGACGACACACUAACUAGGCCUCCGUCUGAGGUUCCUGACGACACACUAACUAGGCCUCCGUCUGAGGUUCCUGACGACACACUAACUAGGCCUCCGUCUGAGGUUCCUGACGACACACUAACUAGGCCUCCUUCUGAGGUUCCUGACGACACACUAACUAGGCCUCCGUCUGAGGUUCCUGACGACACACUAACUAGGCCUCCGUCUGAGGUUCCUGACGACACACUAACUAGGCCUCCGUCUGAGGUUCCUGACGACACACUAACUAGGCCUCCGUCUGAGG